rnacentral:rRNA from 1 species
UGGGGAAUCUUGCACAAUGGGGGAAACCCUGAUGCAGCGACGCCGCGUGAACGAUGAAGCCCUUCGGGGUGUAAAGUUCUUUCGACAGGAACGAUAAUGACGGUACCUGGAGAAGAAGCUGCGGCUAACUACGUGCCAGCAGCCGCGGUAAUACGUAGGCAGCGAGCGUUGUUCGGAGUUACUGGGCGUAAAGAGUGCGUAGGCGGCGAGCCAAGUUUGGUGUGAAAUCUCCCGGCUUAACCGGGAGGGUGCGCCGAAGACUGGGAAGCUGGAGUGUGGGAAAGGCAGGCGGAAUUCCUGGUGUAGCGGUGAAAUGCGUAGAUAUCAGGAGGAACACCGGCGGUGUAGAUGGCUUGCUAGACCAUAACUGACGCUGAGGCACGAAAGCGUGGGUAGCAAACA